GUGUCGGACCUGUUCAAGCCGUUGAAGACGGCUUCAUAUAAGGUAGGAUUCGGUGGUUUCGGUUUUCUUUUUGCGCCGGUGUUGGAGUCUGGAAGACCUAGCUGCUGCUUCUGGCAAUGGCGGCUACAGUUCUGGUGAAUGAAAAAUGAAAAAAAAAUACAGGUGGACAUUAUCUUCAUUUUACCUCAGCCAUUAAACAGUUGGGUUUGGAGUUUACUGCUGAUGACAUAUGACUUGAAUAUUUGAAAGAAAAAGGUGCUUUCUUAAAAAACAAAGACAAUCACCUAUUUGGAUGCAGAGCAAGAACAUGCGCAGGUGAUCGAAAAUGGAAGAUGCGGAAAUAUCAACCCUGAGGUUAGAGGGAACUAUACCACCGCUAUAAGUACAUGUUGUACGCAGGUGGAUUCCAUCUUAUAUGGAUCACGAGACACACUACGUGCUGGGCCGCUGGUCAACCGAGAGGUUUUCUUAGGCGGCAUGGUUGAGUGGUUCAUGGCUUCAAAAACAUAUCAUAAACUUCAUUCGGCGGGGUUUACGGAGACAUUCGACAACCAGGGCUUCUAAGAUUCCGGAGCUUAAGAGGGGCUUGUGUCAGAUCACAAUCUAAGUGAUGCUGCUAAAAAUUGGAGUAAUGCACUACCCUUCUGUUGCAUUGCAUUCUAUCAAAUGUGAUUAGAAUCAAUCAAAAAGUUUAAAAGGUAUAUGCAGGGAUGGGCACUUCUUACCGAGUACCGGUACUGUACCGAUAAUUUACCGAUUUCGGAUUUCGGUGUUACAAGGACUGAUGUUGGAACUUAUUGCUAUAAGCAAGCGAGCAUAAUUUUAUCCAGUGUGAACUAAAAAUUAUCUAAAUUUGGGAACUAUUAUAUAGACGAAUAAAGCUUCGAUGUUGGAUGAAGUGAUAGAUUAUUUAAAGAAGCUACAAACACAAGUGAAGUUAAUGAAUAGCAUGUCAAUUCCACCACCACAAAUGAUGAUACCAGUACCCCUACAAUUGCAACAACAAGAAAACCACCUUCACAUGUCAAUGCUAGCCCAAAUGGGAAUGGGAUAAGGCUUUCAGAUGGGCAUGCAGUAUGCCCCUGCCACUGUAUGAUACUCUACAGUUGAGGCCAACCAUUGACCAUUGUCUUUUAGUUGAAACAAUGUCAGUAAAGGGAAGACAGCCACUUGCCAGCGAGGGAUCUCUGUGUCAUCAGCAUUCAUCGACGCCGAUCAGUUUUGGGUUGCAUGUACCAACUACCAACCCUAAUCCCAAUUGUUUAUACGGGGUUCUUUCCACCUAAUUACACCAUAUGUCUUGCGCUCCUAAUACCUCCCACCUACUUACACCGUGCUUAUGCUAAUUCUGGUUCCUUCAGCCUCUUCAACGUGCGUCUACAAAGAUGUAGGCAUUGCUGUUGGAAUGUAAUGUUAAUGUCAGAAUCAUGAAAACAUUUAUUUUGAGAAUUCGGCUCCUGAGGUGUUUUUUUAGAAACAUUCCCAUAUCCUAAUUGAUACCUGCUGAUAGUCGUGAGUGGGGAUUUAAGCCAACAAUGGACCUGGGAGAAUUUGUGAACUAAGUGGACCAACUCAGAGAUUCCGUUCGUUAGAUAAUGCUGUUGGUUUACUAAAACUGUAUGUAGAAGGUUUUGUAUGUCAAAUUGUCGUUGUAAUCUAUUAUAUUGGUUUGUGUUUUAACGUGUAUAAAAUCAUAAUAUUUAUGUCAAUGGUGAUAAUGAAGAUAUUUUCUUUUA